rnacentral:rRNA from 1 species
CAGCACCUCAAGUGGUCAGGAGGAUUAUUGGGCCUAAAGCAUCCGUAGCCGGCUCUGUAAGUUUUCGGUUAAAUCCAUGUGCUCAACGCAUGGGCUGCCGAAAAUACUGCAUAGCUAGGGAGUGGGAGAGGUAGACGGUACUCAGUAGGAAGGGGUAAAAUCCUUUGAUCUAUUGAUGACCACCUGUGGCGAAGGCGGUCUACCAGAACACGUUCGACGGUGAGGGAUGAAAGCUGGGGGAGCAAACCGGAUUAGAUACCCGGGUAGUCCCAGCUGUAAACGAUGCAGACUCGAUGAUGCAUUGGCAUAUAGCCAGUGCAGUGUCGCAGGGAAGCCGUUAAGUCUGCCGCCUGGGAAGUACGUACGCAAGUAUGAAACUUAAAGGAAUUGGCGGGGGAGCACCACAAGGGGUGAAGCCUGCGGUUCAAUUGGAGUCAACGCCAGAAAUCUUACCCGGAGAGACAGCAGAAUGAAGGUCAAGCUGAAGACUUUACCAGACAAGCUGAGAGGUGGUGCAUGGCCGUCGCCAGCUCGUGCCGUGAGAUGUCCUGUUAAGUCAGGUAACGAGCGAGAUCCUCGCCACUAGUUGCUAUCAUUAUUCUCAGGAAUAGUGGGGCGAAUUAGUGGGACUGCCGUUGUUAAAACGGAGGAAGGAGGGGGCUACGGCAGGUCAGUAUGCCCCGAAACUCUGGGGCCACACGCGGGCUGCAAUGGUAGCGACAAUGAGCUCCAAACUCGAAAGAGAGUGGCAAUCUCUAAACGCUACCACAGUUAUGACUGAGGGCUGUAACUCGCCCUCACGAAUAUGGAAUCCCUAGUAACCGCGUGUCAUUACCGCGCGGUGAAUACGUCCCUGCUCCUU